AAAAAAAAGGGUAAAUGGUGAUGGAAUAAAAAUAAGCAGAUCAAGGGAAGUGUGCUAUCAUAAAAUAACUGUAGCUUCAACAUCUUGAGUACCAGUUUCCUGGCAGAUAGAUAGUAAACAUCCAAUCACAAGGGAUUUUUCCUGAAGGGUGUAAAGCUGGUUUGAAAAUUCUUCAGUCACAGAGCAGCCUACACAUGCCAAUUAGAAACUGACAGACACUAGAUGUGCUUGGAAGAUUAAACACUACGUACAGAAACAGCAGUUACUAAGCUCCUCAGUAGUUUCUUGUCUAAGUUUCGCUGAAUCAAGAGUUUGCACAACGCGCUAUAUUCUGUGGGUCAAAACCAAGUAAAUACUGUGUAAAGUUGGCAGAUUUUUCCAGCUAAGAUCAAGAAAAAACAAAUUUUCUGAUAAAACAGGUUUAGAGUCAGAAACACUCUCUAAAGUGCAAAACUGAUGGUCCACGAUCUCAAAUAGCUAAAACUCCUGCAGAAUGGAAGGGAGAGACGUGAAACAGGGAAAUAAAUUACAGUCAGUGCUAGUUAAUUUAGGAAAAGGGAAAAAUAAACCAAACUCAAGUAGGUAAAGUUUAUCAAAAUAUUCAAUGAUGUAGCUUUCCCCACUCUCUGUCACACACGCUUGCUAACAAGUAUAUUAAAUUAAGGCCAAAUUUAACCUGAAUGCGUUUUUUUUUUUUUUUCUUUUUAUUAAGAUCUGAGAUAGGAACGGUCAUACUUAGUACUGAAAGGCAGACAAUAAAAUGGGCCAUGAAAGGGGGGGGAAAGGUACUGUCUAUUGUUCGAGGGAUUCAACCAGAGAUAAAACCUAUAUACAAGCAUGUGUGUAGCUCGAAAUAAAAAUAAAAGGACUAUUUCAUGUCAUGACUGCUUGUUGGCUUCCUCUUCAUAUGCAUUCCCUGUGCCAUUCUGUACAUAGGAUGAACCAGAACCAAGGCCAUACAAAUGACCACAAUAUUUGGCAUCAUCAAUAUGAUCUUCAAAGAACAUCUAAAAAGGAAUUUUGAAGAAAAAAAAAAGAUAAUUUUAACCAAAAGGAACCACUUGUAAUUUAUAUUUCAGCAAUUCCCAGAAGCCCCGAAGAGACACCAAAGGCCUUCUCAUUACUGGAGAUAGCAUCUCCGUACUGCAGUUUCCCAGAGAAACGAGAGGACGGCACCGAGGUAUUCAAGCCAUAGGUAACUCUCUUCCCUGGCAAAGCGCCAGUGCGAAGGUGCUGAUACCACUGACUGGAGCUACACUGACUCCCAAGCACUGCUGCGUGAAACAAUACGAAGAGGUGAGGAUCUAGGCCACCGCCCUCCACUCCCAAUUUCCGUCCCACAGCGAAGCCCCAGGUACAAAGCCUUUGCGUCAUCACUACGCGCCAACCCCUU
rnacentral:lncRNA from 1 species